GUCUACGGCCACGCCACCCAGAACAAGCCCGAGCCUGUCGGAAGCUAAGCAGGGUUGGGCCUGGUUAGUACUUGGGUGGGAGACCACCUAGGAAGACCAGGUGCUGUAGGUG
rnacentral:rRNA from 1 species